GUGCCACAGCCGCCGCGGUAACACCGGCAGCCCAAGUGAUGGCCGAUAUUAUUGGGCCUAAAGCGUCCGUAGCUGGCCGCGCAAGUUCGUCGGGAACUCCACUCGCUUAACGAGUGGGCGUCCGGCGAAAACUGUGCGGCUUGGGACCGGAAGAUCCAAGGGGUACGUCCGGGGUAGGAGUGAAAUCCCGUAAUCCUGGACGGACCACCGAUGGCGAAAGCACUUCGAGAAAACGGAUCCGACAGUGAGGGACGAAAGCCAGGGUCUCCAACCGGAUUAGAAACCCUUGUAGUCC
rnacentral:rRNA from 1 species